GAUGAACGCUGGCGGCGUGCUUAACACAUGCAAGUCGAACGAUGAAGCCCAGCUUGCUGGGUGGAUUAGUGGCGAACGGGUGAGUAACACGUGAGUAACCUGCCCUUAACUCUGGGAUAAGCCGGGGAAACUGGGUCUAAUACCGGAUAGGAGCGUCCACCGCAUGGGGGGUGUUGGAAAGAUUUAUCGGUUUUGGAUGGACUCGCGGCCUAUCAGCUUGUUGGUGAGGUAAUGGCUCACCAAGGCGACGACGGGUAGCCGGCCUGAGAGGGUGACCGGCCACACUGGGACUGAGACACGGCCCAGACUCCUACGGGAGGCAGCAGUGGGGAAUAUUGCACAAUGGGCGCAAGCCUGAUGCAGCGACGCCGCGUGAGGGAUGACGGCCUUCGGGUUGUAAACCUCUUUCAGUAGGGAAGAAGCGAAAGUGACGGUACCUGCAGAAGAAGCACCGGCUAACUACGUG
rnacentral:rRNA from 1 species